AUCUUGUGAUGUAUGUUCAAGAUCUUGUGAUGUAUAUUCAAUAUCUUGUGAUGUAUAUUCGAAAUCUUGUGAUGUAUAUUCUAUAUCUUGUGAUGUAUGUUCGAAAUCUUGUGAUGUACAUUCGAAAUCUUGUGAUGUAUGUUCGAUAAUCUUGUGAUGUAUAUUCGAAAUCUUGUGAUGUGUGUUCUACAAUUCAGUGAUGCGUGCAAUAAAAUUGCAUGACGCAACAGAAAAGUAAGGACAAUUUUCAUUGGUUAGAAAUAACGAAAGUAGCCGGAGCGGUCGUAAUGCACACAUUGAGUCAAUGACACAACUUCGCAAGCAUGAAAUUGGCGAAUUCAACCUAAAGUCAAAAUUAUAGGAACUUUACGUAGGUCUACAGUUUUAAUUUUGGACUCAUGCACUAGGAAUAUCAUAUCAGCAGAAUUGUGCCACUGAAUCAAAGGGAACUCUUUUUUUUUUAGGUACGCAUGAUCGAUGUAACUUCCUCGAUGGUGUGUUGGUUGUUUGCCCAUGUGUAUUUCGGGGUAUAGGAGUAGCCUCCCCUUUUAAAGAUCCAAAAUGGUGAUUUUACAGUGCGGCAUGCAGUCUGGUCAUCAACGAAGAGUUUUGACACCUUCCAAGACAGGAAGUUGAGGAAUAAAGUUGACAGGACAUCCUGAACU